rnacentral:rRNA from 1 species
CCAGCCAUGCCGCGUGUGUGAAGAAGGCCUUUUGGUUGUAAAGCACUUUAAGCAGUGAAGAAGACCAUAUGGUUAAUACCCAUAUGCGAUGACAUUAGCUGCAGAAUAAGCACCGGCUAACUCUGUGCCAGCAGCCGCGGUAAUACAGAGGGUGCAAGCGUUAAUCGGAAUUACUGGGCGUAAAGCGAGCGUAGGUGGCUUGAUAAGUCAGAUGUGAAAUCCCCGGGCUUAACCUGGGAACUGCAUCUGAUACUGUUAGGCUAGAAUAGGUGAGAGGAAGGUAGAAUUCCAGGUGUAGCGGUGAAAUGCGUAGAGAUCUGGAGGAAUACCGAUGGCGAAGGCAGCCUUCUGGCAUCAUAUUGACACUGAGGUUCGAAAGCGUGGGUAGCAAACAGGAUUAGAUACCCUGGUAGUCCACGCCGUAAACGAUGUCUACUAGUCGUUGGGUCCCUUGAGGACUUAGUGACGCAGCUAACGCAAUAAGUAGACCGCCUGGGGAGUACGGCCGCAAGGUUAAAACUCAAAUGAAUUGACGGGGGCCCGCACAAGCGGUGGAGCAUGUGGUUUAAUUCGAUGCAACGCGAAGAACCUUACCUGGUCUUGACAUAUCUAGAAUCCUGCAGAGAUGCGGGAGUGCCUUCGGGAAUUAGAAUACAGGUGCUGCAUGGCUGUCGUCAGCUCGUGUCGUGAGAUGUUGGGUUAAGUCCCGCAACGAGCGCAACCCUUGUCCUUAGU